GUACUCACUUCAGCAGCACACACAUUAAAAUUAGAACAAUACAGGCAAGAUUAGCAUGGCCCCUGUGCAAGGAUGACGUGCAAAUUCGUGAAAUGUUCCAUAAAAAA